rnacentral:lncRNA from 1 species
UUAAAAUAUCACGAGGGGCAAAAUGAUAAUUAGGAAAAAUCAAAUUUUUAAAACCCUCACUCUCUCUCUUCUCCCUCAGUUUUCUUCUCUCUCUCUCUCCCUCCCGUCGACACUCCUUCAGCCCGACGCCACCCUCUCUGUGAACCACCACCACCGACCACCAGAGACCGUCGGACCGGUCCAGGAAGAACCGACGUCAGCUCCGCUACUCAGCCCACCCUUCCCCGCCGCUCGACCGUCACGGUUUCGGCGGAUUCCGUCCAAAAACGAGCUGGUUUUGCAUAGUUUUGCAACCGUUCGUUCUCCCUC